rnacentral:rRNA from 1 species
AGCAGCCGCGGUAAUUCCAGCUCCAAUAGCGUAUAUUAAAGUUGUUGCAGUUAAAAAGCUCGUAGUUGAAUUUCGGGGUUAGUAGUUUGGUCGUGCCAAUGGUAUGUACUGGGCUCACUGAUUCCUCCUUCCUGAUGAACUGUAAUGCCAUUAAUUUGGUGUUGCAGGGAAACUGGACUGUUACUUUGAAAAAAUUAGAGUGUUUAAAGCAAGCUAACGCUUGAAUACAUUAGCAUGGAAUAAUGAAAUAGGACGUUCGAUCCUAUUUUGUUGGUUUCUAGGAUUGACGUAAUGAUUAAUAGGGAUAGUUGGGGGCAUUAGUAUUCAAUUGUCAGAGGUGAAAUUCUUGGAUUUAUUGAAGACUAACUACUGCGAAAGCAUUUGCCAAGGAUGUUUUCAUUAAUCAAGAACGAAAGUUAGGGGAUCGAAGACGAUCAGAUACCGUCGUAGUCUUAACCAUAAACUAUGCCGACUAGGGAUCGGAUGAUGUUAAUUUUUAAUGACUCAUUCGGCGCCUUAA